CUGAUAAUGUCACAUUAAACACUUCAUCAAUGCUUCAGUAUCAAGUGAUACUAUUUUUCUUCUCACUAUAUCUGGUGGCAUUCGGACAAGGUGGGCACAAACCAUGCGUUCAAGCAUUUGGUGCUGAUCAAUUUGAUGCAGAACAUCCUGUGGAGUGCAAAGCCAAGAGUUCAGUCUUUAAUUGGUGGUACUUUAGUAUUGCUGCUGGUAUCUUACUGACGCUUUUGAUUUUAAACUACAUCCAGGAAAAUCUUAGUUGGGUUCUUGGAUUUGCAAUACCUGCUAUUGUGAUGGCUGUUGGACUGCUUGUUUUUCUGCUUGGAACAAUGACUUACAGGUUUAGUGUCGAAGGGGAUAAAGAAAGCCCAUUUGUGAGGAUUGGUCGAGUUUUCAUUUUGGCCAUUAGGAAUCGUAAAAUAGCUUCUUCAGCAAUUGCUACAGAGGAAAGCUUCAAGCAAUUCAAGUAAGUGAUAUAUUUUUUCAUCUAAAGGAAAUUAGGGAAUAAACUGAUAUGGAAUGGAUUUUCUAUUGUGGUGGUAGAUUCCUCGACAAAGCCCUGCUUGCUUCAGACAGUACAAUGGAGCAGGGAAAAGUGUGUAGCAUGAGAGAGGUUGAAGAAGCAAAGGCUGUUUUAAGGCUUGCACCAAUAUGGGCUACAUGCUUGAUUUAUGCAGUUGUUUUUGCACAGACAUCGAUAUUGUUUACUAAGCAAGGUGCUACAAUGGACAGAUCAAUUACAAGAGGAAUUGAAAUACCUGCUGCCACACUUCAGUGUUUCAUUAGCUUUUCAAUUCUUCUCUUCAUUCCAAUAUAUGAUAGAAUAGUUGUUCCUUUAGCAAGAGCCUUCACUGGGAAACCAGGAGGAAUUACAAUGCUUCAAAGAAUUGGAACUGGUAUUGCUGUG
rnacentral:lncRNA from 1 species